rnacentral:snRNA from 1 species
GUGCUCGUUUCGGCAGCACAUAUAUUAAAUUUGGAACGAUACAGAGAGGAUCAGCAUGGCCCCUGCGCAAGGAUGACACGCAAAUUCGUGAAGCGUUCCAUGUUUUU